CGGACGGGUGAGUAACGCGUGGGUAACCUGCCUUGUACUGGGGGACAACAGUUAGAAAUGACUGCUAAUACCGCAUAAGCGCACAGUAUCGCAUGAUACAGUGUGAAAAACUCCGGUGGUACAAGAUGGACCCGCGUCUGAUUAGCUAGUUGGUAAGGUAACGGCUAACCAAGGCGACGAUCAGUAGCCGACCUGAGAGGGUGACCGGCCACAUUGGGACUGAGACACGGCCCAA
rnacentral:rRNA from 1 species